UGCAGUUUAAAGAGACCCUUGAUUAAAUCUGUUCGCCUGUUAUACCCCUUCAUGUUCUCAACAAACUAAAGCAGGAAAAGGCCGAAUAAAAACUGGGAAACUAAAAUAGACACGCACUUUAUUCAAAAUGUGUCUAGCUGCUUAACCUGUGAAUUUGUUGAGAUAUAAGGACGUUACAGCCACAAACUUUAAUGUGCUUUAAUGGGAUUUUAUCUGAUGAACUGACAACAAAUUCUGCAAAACCUUAAAGUAGAUUCAGCUUCUUUUAAUCUGACACCUCAAAAUAACAUCCAGCGCAACCAACUGGCCUCAGAUCAGUAAAUAGAGUCCACCAACGUGUAGUUUAAUCUGAGUCGAAAUGCAGCUGAUCUGUGAUGGUUUUUAGAGAACAUUAGAGGACAAGCAGCAUCACGAAGACCAAGGAACACAGCAGACAGAAGAAGGUGCUCUGGUCAGGUGAGACUAAAACGGAACUUUUUGGCCUAAAUGUAAAACUGUGUGGAGACGAAAACUCCACCCUAAACGCAUCACCCUGGUGGAGCUAAAUACAUGCUGCAGAAGAGA